rnacentral:tRNA from 1 species
GAGGGUAUAGCUUAGUGGUAGAGCACAUGCUGAGCAUGCAUGAGGUCCUGGGUUCAAUCCCCAGCACCUCCA